rfam:Nematostella vectensis strain CH2 x CH6 NEMVEscaffold_5061_Cont49074, whole genome shotgun sequence.
AAAACGGCUCUUUUAGGAGCCACCACAUAGAGAAA